AUGUAAUACGACUCACUAUAGGGCGAAUUGGGCCCGACGUCGCAUGCUCCCGGCCGCCAUGGCGGCCGCGGGAAUUCGAUUAGAGUUUGAUCAUGGCUCAGAACGAACGCUGGCGGCGUGCUUAACACAUGCAAGUCGAACGGGUUCAUAAUGAGUAGCAAUACUUGAUAUGAAUUAGUGGCGGACGGGUGAGUAACACGUAGGUAACCUACCCUUGAGCGGGGGACAACCCAGGGAAACUUGGGCUAAUACCCCAUAAGACCACGGGGUGUGAAUCUUGUGGUAAAAGUAGCGAUACGCUCAUGGACGGGCCUGCGGCCUAUCAGGUAGUUGGUGAGGUAACGGCCCACCAAGCCAAAGACGGGUAGCCGGGCUGAGAGGUUGAACGGCCACACUGGAACUGAGACACGGUCCAGACUCCUACGGGAGGCAGCAGUGGGGAAUAUUGCACAAUGGGGGAAACCCUGAUGCAGCGACGCCGCGUGGAGGAUGAAGGUCUUCGGGUUGUAAACUCCUUUUAUUGGGAAAGAWRAUGACGGUACCC
rnacentral:rRNA from 1 species